CAAAACACUUCCACACUUUUCCACAUGUCCACCGCUCCCAGUGGCUGUUUUUGCACAGAAACAAAACUGAAAUCUUGAAUAUCUAGUGCUUUUGUUUCACUCCAUCCUUUCAGAGCCGAACUAUGACUAAAGAAAAUGUACAAGGAGCCGGUGAGGAUGAGCAGCAGGCCCAGUCGAAGAAAGCCCUGAAGAAACAGCAGAAGGAAGCAGAGAAAGCUGCAAAGAAGGCAGAGAAGCAGGCCAAGCUGGCCGCAGAGCAGCAGGAAGCUGAUGAGGAUGAUUUUGCCAAGGAUCGCUAUGGGAUCUCUCCUAUGGUCCAAUCC